AGAACGAACGCUGGCGGCAUGCCUAACACAUGCAAGUCGAACGAGACCCCAACUUCGGUUGGACGUCUAGUGGCGCACGGGUGCGUAACGCGUGGGAAUCUGCCCUUCGGUUCGGAAUAACUCGGAGAAAUCCGUGCUAAUACCGGAUAAUGACGUAAGUCCAAAGAUUUAUCGCCGAGGGAUGAGCCCGCGUAGGAUUAGCUUGUUGGUGAGGUAAAGGCUCACCAAGGCGACGAUCCUUAGCUGGUCUGAGAGGAUGAUCAGCCACACUGGGACUGAGACACGGCCCAGACUCCUACGGGAGGCAGCAGUGGGGAAUAUUGGACAAUGGGCGAAAGCCUGAUCCAGCAAUGCCGCGUGAGUGAUGAAGGCCUUAGGGUUGUAAAGCUCGUUUACCGGGAUGAUAAUGACAGUACCGGAGAAUAAGCUCCGGCUAACUCCGCGCCAGCAGCCG
rnacentral:rRNA from 1 species